GCUGAUGGAUUUGAUGCUGGCAGUGGCAAGGACAGAAAGGAAGAAACCAAGGACAGUUCAAGCUUUUGAUUUGAACAACCAGGCAGAAGAUGAGGCACAGGAACUCUGGUACAGUCUUGGUUUCUUCCUGGAUUCCGGAGGGGAAUGCUAAGGGACUGACCAGAAACCCAAGUGCACGGCAUUUCUUAGCCCCAGGAAAUGGUUCGGGAAUGGACGUGUGACCCAACCAAGGCCAAUGAGGUACGUGAGGAUGCUUGCUGAGUGCCCUGGGCAAGGGCCAGGACUGCUGCAACCGGCCAGCCACCAGCCUGAGAACAAAGUCCACUCACAGAGGAAGCAGAAUCAAC